rnacentral:rRNA from 1 species
UAGAGGCAGCAGUGAGGAAUAUUGGUCAAUGGGCUAGGGCCUGAACCAGCCAAGUCGCGUGAGGGGAGACGGUCCUAUGGAUUGUAAACCUCUUUUGUCGGGGAGCAACGAGGCCACGUGUGGCCGAAGUGAGAGUACCCGAAGAAAAAGCAUCGGCUAACUCCGUGCCAGCAGCCGCGGUAAUACGGAGGAUGCGAGCGUUAUCCGGAUUUAUUGGGUUUAAAGGGUGCGUAGGCGGAACGUUAAGUCAGCGGUAAAAUCGAGGGGCUCAACCCCUUUAAGCCGUUGAAACUGGUGAUCUUGAG